rnacentral:lncRNA from 1 species
UGUGUUUUUUUUUUUUACGUUGGAGUUUAACAACAAACUUGCUUUACCUAAUGGUAAGCCACAAAACUUGUUGUACUUGUUUGCAAGCCACAAAACUUGCUGAAUCUAUUUGCAGUCUUGUAACAUGGUACGGGGCGAAAGGGGGGCGGCUUACACCCCCUUUCAUGAAGACAAUUUAUACACCACUGUAACGUGGUAUUGGGCGGAAGAUACUUUUAGGUAUUGGGCGGAACCCUGACGGCUUACACUCCCUUCCAAGAAGGCAA